GCUGAGGUGUCCGAGUGGUUAAGGAGUUGGACUUGAAAUCCAAUGGGUUCUGCCCGCGCAGGUACGAAUCCUGUCCUCAGCG
rnacentral:tRNA from 1 species